rnacentral:rRNA from 1 species
GACAGAGGUGCCAAGCGUUAGGCGGAAUCACUGGGCUUAAAGCGUGUGUAGGCGGAUCGUUAAGUACCUUGUGAAAUCCCACGGCUCAACCGUGGAACUGCUCGGUAUACUGGCGGUCUUGAGCCACCUAGGGGCAACUGGAACAAGCGGUGGAACGGUGAAAUGCGUAGAUAUCGCUUGGAACGCCAACGGUGAAAACAGGUUGCUGGGGGUGUGCUGACGCUGAGACACGAAAGCCAGGGGAGCGAACGGG